CCUGGCUAGGAUGAUUUAGUUGGUGUUGGUCCUGCCUUGUGGGGGAUUGGACUAGAUGACCUCUUGAGGUCUCUUCCAACCCUAAUCUUCUAUGAUUCUGUGAUUCAAAGAUUGUGCAGGAAAUGGGUGGCAGAAUAUCAGACAAGAUCUGGUAACCUAAUAUUGACGAGGGUCUAGAGAGGAAGCAUGGUCCAGUGGUUAGGGCGCUGACCGGAGACCUGGGUUGAAGUCCCUGCUCUGCCACAAAUUUCCUAUGUGAAGUCACUUAAUCGCUCUGUGCCUCAGUUUCCCAUCUGUAAAAUGUGGUUGUCGCCCUGUCCUAUCUCACAGAGUGUUGCGAGGGUCACUCCGUUACAGAUCAUGCGGCGCUCGGAUACUCUGGGGAGGGGGGCUAGGUACAUACGUCAGAUAGAUGCUUGGUGUAGGGAGCUGCGCAGCUGGAGAGAGAGGCUUGCGGAGAGCUCCAGAGGACGCCAAUAGCCAGCCAACCUUGUUGCAGCAGCCCCUUGGGCUGAGCCUCGGAAGGAAGCCGACUGCAGCGGAUGACGGCUGAGCCACAGCAGGGUGAGUAACCCUACGAAUCUCUAUCUGGUAUCGGCCCCUGGCGGCCUCUGCUCUCCGCGCAGUGCAGCGGGAUGGCGAUUUGUACUUACGCUCUCAGGAAGCGGGGUUUUCACUUUCCCAAAUCUGCCCGUCACGAGGCAUUGAAACAACCCCACGGCUUGUCCUCCACCUCGCUACACGUUGCUCCCUGGGAGCUGCCUACAUGGCAGCGGCAGCUUUGUGAGAUCCCUGCUCAAGGCACACCUCUGAUCCUGGGCCUGGGGAGAGGAAGGAGGGUUAGCUAGUGACCUCGUGGGCUGUAGGAGCAUCCUGAGCAGAGCUGGCCCCAAGUCACAGAGUUAAGCCGGAAAUUCAAACGUUGACAUUGGGGCUGCUCAGACCUGGGCUUCGGCCCAUUGUGGGGAUGGCACCAGCCAUAAAACUUGACUCCAGACCGGGCCUCGCCCAAGCUCAGGGCCACCGGAUCCCGGGAUUCGGCUGGCUGCCUAGUGUGCUCUGUGGAGCACGUACCUGUUAGCCCUGUGAUCACCAUCCCUUCCCGUGCCGGAAGGCGGGAUGCUCUGUAGGAAAGAGCCUUAGCUUGCUGCACGUGACAUGGGCCUUGCCAAAGGCUGGCUCGGUCACCUAUGGCAGCGUAAGGAAUGCAGCAGGAAAGGCUUGGCGAUGUGAACUGGCUGUUUGAAGGGGAUGCCUGGAAUUCUGCACUCAUGGGCACGGAAUGGGCUGGUGCAGAUAAAGGACCUCCUAGACGGGCCUUGAUUUGUGACGGGAGCAAAUUGGAUGUAGGUUGUCAGGGCAGUGCCACUUGCUUCCCGUGCACCAGGCCUAUCCUAUACCCUAACACCAACCUCCUCCCUCCCUGCAGGACUUGACCUGUCUGGAUCCUCGCUUGCUCCCAGGUUGGGACCACGUGGCUGCUUGUCAGACUCUCAGCUCAGGAAGAAGCCACGUCCCCGGCGCCCUGGAAUUGGUGGCUGGCGGUUGCUGCGCAGGCUGGAACUCCCAGCUAGGAAUCUGCAGAGGAGGCUCUGGGGUGUGCCCUGCGGGGAGGAGACUUCCCAGCUGGAACGAGUAAAACUCCCUGAGCGGCAGGAGAGCUGACGUAGCCUCUGAGAUGGGGAUAGGGAGAGGCAGGCGUGUGCUAUAUACAGCUUCCUUGCUUCGCCAAGGUGGUGGAAAUUGAUGUUAGUUCCUGGUAGCAGCCUUCUCCAGUGCAGGGCAGCGGUGCCUGCAGACUCCUGUCCAGCGGUAGCGGGCACACCGUAGAAUUACUGGAAGUGAAUGUCCUGCACUCCCCUGCGAGCUGGCCAGCGUUUCAUCUUUGUACCUUGUCGACAUGAUCUGUGAGGUGUGACAUCGAUUCCAGCCAUUGUCAUCAACAUCUGCGUGGCUCUGUCACCUGGACCUGGACUCGGCACCAUUGAGGAAGAUACGCACCAAGUCUCCUUGCUGAUGCUGGUGAGAAGAGUUUGCCGGCCCAGGGAGCAGCUGUGCAAGACUCUCCCACCUCUAGUCAGUCAACAUGUUUCACCUUUGGAGUGACCCGCCCCCUCCUGGAGGGCUCCAGAAACGCACCAAGAAAAGUCACAUGCAUCAGUGGGCGUACUUGGAGCCUGUCUGAAACAAGGCUACACCUAGACUUCACCACUACUCUGGGUAAGGAAAUACAGGGCACGAUAUUCAAGGCUGCAUGGCAACCUGCUCAUGCCCAAGGAGAAGCUUAAGAGAUUUCUCACAGCUACAUCCCUUACGAAGAGGAACAGAUUGAAGCAUCAUCAUCUUUGGUGCCCCUAUACUAACUACAGGGUGGAAUAGGAGCAUCUAACACCUUGACAACUCCUUCAUUGGGGCUGAGCAAGUUCCUGACAGCCACCUAACCCACUUCCACAUGAACAUGACCAUCUUGAGGAGUUGAACAUGAGUUCAAGACGGGGGGUAUUACUUGCGCUGAGGUGAUAGUAAUGAUUUAAGAAUCCUAUUAGUCGCUGCUGCCAUUGUCUUGAUUCUUAAUGUUACCCUCUCACUGUACAGUUAAAUCAGAGUUGAAAAUCAGGGGCUGUGUGAAAGUAUGGCUCUAAAGGGUUUCAUAGUGCUUAGUUCAGGGCAAGAUGACUAUACCUGUAAAACAAGGUUUUAAAGUCUAUUUACUUUGCAGCCCUGCUGUAGGAAGUCUUCACUCUUAGUAAUCUGUGUGUGUGGUGUUGAUGGGAGACUUACUGUCUUCACGUAAUCCCUAAGCAAAUGAAGUACAUAGGUCAUGAGCUGAGCGACUAACUUAACCAGCUGCGACUAACUGUCAGUGUGCUGCACUCCUUGCUGUUCUGCUCAUGUCAGCGUAGGUGCCUCAGGGUUUCAAGUGUAGACAGGGCUGUGCAGCCCGUCAGAGGGGCUAAGUUCUGAGUCUCACUCCCCAAAUUAGCCACCUCCACCACAAGACUAGUUAAUGGGGGGGGGGAGGGGGGAAGGUUUCAGAUCAGGCAGAUUGGAAAAUUCACACAAGUACACCUUAAAUUUGGGGAAAAAAAUUUUUUGUUGUUGCUAUGGGAGCUGAAAGCCUAAUAAAGCUUUGUCUAGAGGCACCAUUGUGUCAGUCAGAUGAAAUACAAAAAAUGUAUCUAUCUGCUUUUUAAAAGGGCACUGUUAAAGAUCAGUGUGCCCAGGAGAGAUUUCAGCCUUUGUUGUCCUGGUAAAGUGGUGUGAACAGUCAGUCAUCUAUGUAGCUACUCCAAUAUGACAGAGAGAAAAGACAGGCCACUUAAAGUUUUACUAGGCCCAGCUAGGCUCUUUGUUAGGAGGAACUGUACCUUCAUUAUUACUUGAAACCUUCCUUCCUUCUUUUGUGAAUGUGUAGCUAGUUACUUGGAUGAAUUAAGCUGGCACAAUUGCUUUGUUGUUAAACCUAGAAUAAACGCCCUUUCAGUAUCCAGGCAUGGUUGUGUUACACUUCUGCAAAGGGAUUGAGUGAUGUGCUAAACCCAGAACUAAAACUUCCCCAAAUCCUGGGAUAGGUUAGAUCUGAACUUUCCAGCUUCUGCCUCUCUAGAAACCCCCUAAGAUGACUGACUCACCUGUUGCUUGUGCAAUGGUUAAAAAUGUAGAGGGGGGAGACUUUGUCCAAAGAUCUUUCAGAGUAGAUAGAGCAAUGGUCCAGUUGAGGAAACCCUACCUCUAGAGUAGCCAACUCAGCCGUAUUAAACAGGUGGGAGAAUUGCCUGCCUUGCUCCCCAACAGACUGUGCACAGCCUCGCAUGUUCAAAUCCCAGCAGAUAAAGGGGUAGGGGGGAGACUUCUCUCCCGCUCCCUUGGGUGAUCCACCUCAAAGCAUGAGAUCUGAAUGUUUGUGUCAGAGUUUGCAUAGUUAUGAGCAUUCAUGUCAAAGUCAUCACUCAGCCCUUGAAAAUGUCCAGCCACAGACCUAAGGUGAAUCAGUGAGUUAAACUUGGAAGGAGGAUUAGAUUUGUAACCAGUAAAAGGUGAUUUCACUGUUCAAACACAGGGGGGAAAAAAUUUCCAUUGAUAAUUGGAAUUUACAGCUAGUCUAAGUGAGAAAUGCUGCUUGAGAACUUGCGUUUGUAUAUUUGGACAUGUGAUGUUCAGUUUGUGUUUCUGAAUCAACACCUACUGUCAUCUGCCUCCAUCCUCAAAUGCCUGCACCUGUGAAAAUUUAAACAUCGGGGAGGGGUGGAAAUCCUUAAUCCAUAAUUUUGGGCAACAGCGACCAUUAAAAUAGACGAAACUGCUUAAAAACAAACGGGUAUAUGUCAAAAUUAUUUUUUUUAAAGAAGUAUCAAGUUCAGCCAAGUCUGUAGAUCAGAGGUGGGCCACCUCCAGCCCGCAGGACCAUCCUGCCCAGCUCAGGAGCUCCUGGCCAGGGAGGCUUCCCCCCAGCCCCUUCCCUGCUGUCUCCCCUCCACCGCAGCCUCAGUGCGCUGCACCGCCAGUGCUCUGGCCUGCUGCUCUGAGCAGCAUGGUAAGGGGGCAGCUGGCAUGGUCAGGGGACAAGGAGCAGGUUGGAUGGGUCAGGGGGUGGGAAGUGGGAGGGGGCCAGGUCCAGGCUGUUUGGGGAGGCACAGCCUUCCCUACCCAGCCCUCCAUAAAGUUUUGCAACCCUGAUGUGGCCCUCCGGCCAAAAAGUUUGCCCACCCCUGCUGUAGAUAGAACAUAAGUUGAUACCACACCAUGCCCUCGAACUGGUUUUCUAAGGACAUUAAAGGCUGUCUGCCUUUUAUACUCCCUGGGGCUGUGAGAACUUAGCCAUUCAGUUUCUCCUUCAAGAUAAAGGUUUAGAUGAGGUCUGAGAAGCAAGGAUAAAUCAAGUGCUAAGAUAUACUACUUGGUAUGCUAAAGCAGACCUUGGUGCAAUAUGCUGCAUAAAUGUAAUGGGCCAUCAGAUUGAGUAGAUUAGAAGAAAACCACCCAUAAAUUGUAGAGCACCAGGUUAAUUAUGAUUGCUGCUGUGUUCCAUCUAACAGUACUCCUUUUCCUUCAGAGAGAAUUUCAUUUCAGCAGCCUGGAAUUUCCAGACCCUAGUAGCUGGGGAAUUAAGCCUGUUACCAGCAGUUUUGGGGGGAGGGGUGGUCCAUGUCAAUUCUCAGGUGAGAAGCCCCUGACAAUUCACUGCUGGGAGAGGGGAUGGAGCUGGGAUUUCUCCAAGGCUGCUCUUCCAGGACCUUUGUUCGGGGGUUCCCUUGAAUUCUCCACCUAGUAGGGCGCUUCAGAUUUCAAACCCCUAAGCGGCUCUGGCAGCUAGAAGGGAAGGGGAGCAAUCUCUUCCUCCUCCGCUCCCACAGCAGGGUGGCUGAGGAAGGAAGGGGUGCUAUUCUACCUUUUCUCCAGCCUCCUGGGUGCGCUUGCAUAGCUCCACCCCUCCCUCAGCUUUCUAGCUCUUGAGCAGGGUGUGUCUGCUACUCUAUCCCUCCUGCAGUCUCCCCUUUUGGGCCCUCCUGCCUAAACUGAUGCUUGUCACUUUCACCCUGACCACAGCAGAGGUGAAAACUGACAAGAAGUGGGUUAGUUUUCACUAUGGGCAGCUUGAGAGAACUCUGAGCUGCAGACUCAGGAUGACAAUACUGCAUUGGUUCACACACACCAUUACCAAUCAGAAAGCUUCCUGAACAGCAAGAAGGGAUAGAUUUUCUGGGUUUUUUUAAAGCUUAGAUUCUGCAGAAACUGAUAACCCUUGCCCUCUGAUUUUUCAAACCCAGCUAAACAGGUAAAAAGAACCCACCUAAUGCAAGUGUUGAUGGAGAGGUAAGUGGUGGAUUAACAGAACAAGCACUACACCAAGAGCAAGACUAAAAUGUGUUGCAUUCAAAAAUCAGCAGCGAAAGUUGAACUCACUGGGCCAAAUUAUGCCUGGGUGAAUUUGGCCCAUUUGUUCCAGUAAGCGAGAAAUCUGACUGAUUGCACAAAUGCAUUCUGGGUGUGUUGUGGAGUUGCUCCAUCAUUCAGAGACAGAUCUUUAAAACUAGUGGAUUACAGGCUUUUCCAGUAAAACAUCCCCUAUUCUAAAGCUUUGCACUUUUCAUGCUUCCAUCUCCAAGUGUGGUACUCCGGCAGGUAAAGCAGCGUUGUCCCCACUUUACAGAUGACAAAACCAAGGCCAAACACAAACUGAGGUACUGCUGCUGAUUCUGCCACUAGGUGUCCUGAUUCUCAGCCCAAUACCUUCUCUGGUGCACCAUGUGCCUAGUCAUGCAAGGAAAUGCUACAGCACAAUCGUUAUUGAAAACUAAACUAGCAUUGAUUUAUGUCCAUGAAAAUCAAGUCACACAAGGCUUCCAAUCUCUCUGCUUGUUCCCAGAGUGCUGAGCACCUGUAACUCCUACUGAAGUCAGGGGGAGAUGUUGGUAUUCAGCACUGCUCUAGAUCAACCCCAGAAACAUCACUGCAGAAGAUAAUAGUAGAUGUAAUAAACACAGGGAAGUAAUUCAUUGCCAUUAAGAUAAAUCCAAGUUACAGGUAAUCAAACAUAUGGGGAAAAGCAAUUGAGCAGAUGGCUUAAAUACAGAGCAGAAUAGGGAAAGAUGUAAGCAGCAGCUUUAUGUGGUUUCCUUAAGCACAGAAUCAGAGCAAGAUGCAUGAAAAGGGAAAACUAAGGUAAAUAAGGAGUCUAAGUGUCCGUACAACAGUGCUAGCAAGUUCUCAAGCUCAGUGAAUGUCACGGAUUAUUAGUUUCAGAGUAAUAAACUGGGCUGAGACAUGAAAUUGCUGCCUGUUGCCAGGGUCUCAAAGUGCUCAAGUCAAAGUCACUGGGACUUGGAGGUGCUCAGCAGGAUCAGAGCCUAGAUAUGAAACCCAGGAUGGACAGAGCAGAGGUCUGUAAUGAAGGUGUCACCUUCAAUUGAAACUGAUCUUUGUUUUGUGCACCACGCCCACGAGGUUCUUCACUAUUGUAAAAAGAUGCCCUGCAGCUGCAUGCAACUAUACGUCCUUUAAAGAGCUCCCAUUAACCUUAUGGUCAAUGACAUUGAACAAGCUGCAUUAGGGUGAAGAUUUUCCAGUGCCUUAGGGCACUGCUCAAACACGAAACCCCACAGCAGUCGGCUGAAAUGGAUACCAUUACUCAGUGCAGAUUUGCUCUUUGGGGUGAGGAGCUUACUGAUUGUUUCCUGUCCCAUUAGGGGGUCUCUGUGAGGGCCAGCCAUUCAGGGGCAUAUGAAGGGAUAUUCAAGCCCUUACCUUCCUCUGAGCCCAAAUCUACUGUCUUUGCUCAUCUAAGGACUUGUGUGGCGCAUCCUAUUAUCUGACAGGAGGUAGGGAAGUAUUUUCAGUUUACAGAUGGGGAAGUGAAGGACAGAUCUGUUAAGUGCUAGAUUCACAAAGGGACUUAAAACCCAACAUUUAGGCCCCUCUGACAUACACAAAAUCUCUGCUCAGCUGCUGCUUACUCCUCUAGGAGCCUAGGGUCCCCUAUGUUUCCACUGGUAGGCAUGAGGAUGCUCAGGAGCUGCUUCGAGCCCUUGCUCAUGCCUAAGCCCUGAAGGGAUUCUCAAGCAAAGCAUUCCCCUAGCGCUCUCACUUGGGUGGGUGAGCUGAGCAUACCCACACAAAAAGACAGCCGGGGCAAGCAGGGUAGGAAUUUUGGAGGCAGAUGCGCAUCCCUGUAAUACCCAAGUGCCCCAAUCACCAGGCUACUGUCUCGCUCACUGAAUACAAAAUGAAACAGUGUCAACCACAGAGAUUGAGACACCCACCCCCACAAUACCCAACAGCUGGGUGGGAUGGGCAUUUUCCUGGGAGGUGUGAGACCUAGGUUCAAGUUUCUGCUCCAGAUAAGGUAGAUCUGGGAUUUGAAAACAGGACUCCCACAUCCCAGGGGAGUGCUCUGGGUUGGGGAGUAUUGGCUGUAUUGGGGUCCUCCCCCCAUCCCCUGGAAAAAUGGAUGACCUGGUUGAGAAAGCUAAUUCCAGGAGAGAGUUCAUGGCUGAGAAUCCCCAUGGAGGUUAGACACCUCCCUCUAGCCUGUUGUCAGGUACCUAGAGGUCCAGAUCCAUGGGAGUUAGGCACCUAAGACCCUCUGUGGAUUGGACCCUAAGCCCCACUCCUUUCCUCUGCAUUUCACUCCUGGCUGGCUUAGGCAGCUCCCUGUUCAGAGUGCUGGCUUUUGAGAAUCCCUCUCUUAGGGGCCUAACUCUCCCCUACAAUGCGUGUGAAGCCUGGGCGCCUAAUUGGGGGCUCUGAAUUCCACUGGGUGGCAGGACACCUUUUUUAAUCUAGUCCUUAGCGACUUGCCUGAGGUGACCCAGGGAGUCUGUGGCAGAACCAGAACUGAACCCAGAUCUCCUGAGUCCCAGCCCAGUGCCUUAACAAAGCCAUGCUUCCUCAUCUGAAGCCCUUGGGGGUUACAUUUGUAAGACGCUGUGUAAAACUGAUCACUGUGCUGCUUGGCAACAGUUUUAUAUUUAGUUCGGAUCAGUCCACAUUUGCCCAUUUCAUCCCUGACCACUUCGACAGUCUAGAUCACGAGUCAGACAGGAGACCAACAGCAGAUUCCACCAGGUACGUGGUGGAAGAGGAGGAGAGGGCGCUGGCUCUGUGUUUGGCGAGAUGAGAUCCUCAAUUCAGCCAGUUGCUCAAGGGAUUGAUUGUCUAGGCAAAUCUCUCACUAAGUCACUACAGAGCCUCCACCUCUGAGAACAUCACUGAUAACAAUCUUUGCCAUUCUCUAGCACCUUCCUUCCAAGCUUCUCUGAGCGCUGUACCCUCAACAGCGACUUUAACCCCUAUGGAAUGUCACGAGGUUAGGAAGGGAGCAAUUGCUUUACACAGUGGCAAGUUAUAGCCCAGAGUGGUGAAAUAACUGGCCUGAAAUCUUCCCUCUCCCACCAACAGAAGUUGGUCCAAUAAACGAUAUUACGUCACCUGCGGUCUCUAAUUUGCGCAAGAUUAUACUGUCUGAUCAUCAUCCUGGAUGGAGUCCAGUCUUAGCUCUGAAAACUAGGGCCUCUCUGGCAUAAGCGUUACGACUUGACUUAAGACCAUGAGCUGUGUGGAAAUGGGAGUUUCUCCUCUCCCCCAUCCCCCCAAAAAUAAAACCACAGCAAUGAGUUAUACAGAUUCCUUCCUGCUACCCUGCCCUGUUUCCUGUGUAGAAAUCACAGAAUUACCGGCACGGGUGGGCAAGGUCUCCGCUGCAUGACUUGGAGCCUUUCAUUAGCUUGUUUGUACAGUGUGAAAAAAGAGGUCUGGCUGAGUGCGCGGCUGCUGCUGGCAUUUGCUAUUGUGACACUGGGGAGAGUUUGAUUUGGCAGAGGAGUCCUGAUUUUGGGGCCAAAGGCACGUCUUUAACGGUUUACGGCGCCUGGAAAUAAACAGGGCCUGGGCAAUACUUGCUCAGUUUAAAACCAAACUGCUGCGGAAAGUUUAUGCAGAGGUCUUGCCCCCCACCCCCAUUCCUAGCACACAUUCAGCUUAUCACAGGUGCCAGCCCACCGAGGUAGGCAGGUUGCCAUUUUACACACUGCUUCACCUAGCUCAGUGGUGCUCAACCAGGGGUCUUCCAGGGAGCACAUCAACUCAGCUCGAGAUCUGCCUUGUUUUACAACAAGCUACAUAAAAACCACUAGCAAAGUCAGUACAAACUAACAUUUCCUACAGACAAUGACUUGUUUAUACUGCUCUAGGAAUGGAGUGCUGACCUGUGAGUACAAUAUUUACAUUCCAAUUGAUUUAUCUGAUAAAUGGUUAAAAUGAGAAAGUCAAUGGUUCAGUGACAGGGGACUGGGAUGGUUUUGUAUUCUGUAGGUCUGAUUUUGUAAGCAAGUAGUUUAAGUGAGGUGAAACAUGGGGUAUGCAAAUGUGACACAUGGCCAGAAUGCAUUAAGCACCCUGCAGGAUAAAUAACCCAAAUUCAACCUCUAGGGACAUGUUAUUAGAUGCUUGUGUUUUUGUGUGGUUAUAUAUAAAUAUAUUGUUUGAGGUUGACAGUGUAACCAAACGGUUACUGUCUAUGCUGAAUUCUGUUAAUCCAGAGAUCAAAAGGAGAUCUUAACAUUUAAAUGAACUGUAAAUAUAGUGAUAUCACUGUAUUGAUCUCUCUUUGAAAUGUAAAGCAAUCACCUAUGAAUGGUGGAAAACAGGCAAAUGCCUUGUUUGUUAAUUACCAGCGAUGCUUAGGAAAUAGGUCCACUUCAAAGUCUUGAUGAUUGCCUAUUGUUGGCCUAAGAAUUCCGUGCUGUCAAGGGAAGGCCUGGAACUGUAUUAAGGAGUCUUGGGUCCUGAUCCUUUUUAUCUCAGAUCUGCUUUAUGCAGGGGAAGCUUGAGUCCUAAGACUGAGAUCUCCGGUCCCACCUGGAUCACCGCAAAUAUGAACAUUGGACUAUAACCUAUGGACCAACUCUGAAAGGACUUUUUGAAACUACAAAGCUCACCAUCUCUACUAUAAAACUGAUCUCAGAAUGGUGCUCAUGUCUGUAUGUAUACUGAUCUUUUAACCAAUACUCACUUUUUAAAAAAAAUAAAUAAAUUCUAGUUUAAUUACUAAGAA